GCAAGUCGAACGGCAGCAUGAGGAGCUUGCUCCUUGAUGGCGAGUGGCGGACGGGUGAGUACAAAUUAGGAAUCUGCCUUGUAGUGGGGGACAACACGGGGAAACUCGUGCUAAUACCGCAUACGCCCUUCGGGGGAAAGCGGGGGAUCUUCGGACCUCGCGCUAUAAGAUGAGCCUAAUCCGGAUUAGCUUGUUGGUGGGGUAAAGGCCUACCAAGGCAACGAUCUGUAGCUGGUCUGAGAGGACGAUC
rnacentral:rRNA from 1 species